GCUCAGAUUGAACGCUGGCGGCAGGCCUAACACAUGCAAGUCGAACGGUAACAGGAAGCAGCUUGCUGCUUCGCUGACGAGUGGCGGACGGGUGAGUAAUGUCUGGGAAACUGCCUGAUGGAGGGGGAUAACUACUGGAAACGGUAGCUAAUACCGCAUAACGUCGCAAGACCAAAGAGGGGGACCUUCGGGCCUCUUGCCAUCGGAUGUGCCCAGAUGGGAUUAGCUAGUAGGUGGGGUAACGGCUCACCUAGGCGACGAUCCCUAGCUGGUCUGAGAGGAUGACCAGCCACACUGGAA
rnacentral:rRNA from 2 species